CGCAGGCGAGGGCUGAUCGGCUGACAAUGCUAACUGAGUUAUCAAGGCUGUCAGCCCAUACCUCAAGCAUGGGUGAAAAAUAUAUCAUGCCACCGAAAAAACGACGAGACAUCAGGAGCUUUUUUUCCCCCACCCAAAGAGAAACGCAGCAGCAGGCUGAAGUAGAGCAGGAUGAAACAGCUGCGUCUUCAGGGUUUCAGCAUGUGUAGAGCCCUGACCUCAACCCCACUGAACACCUUUGGGAUGAACUGGAACUGGAGCUUCCUGACAUCAACAUCAGCACCUGAUCUCAACCUCACUAACGCUGUUGUAGCUGAAUGAACACGAGUCCCCACGGCCACGCCCCAAAAUCUAGUGGAAAGCCUUCCCAGAAGAGUGGAGCACGUUAUAACAGCGAA
ensembl:lncRNA